rnacentral:rRNA from 1 species
CCUACGGGAGGCAGCAGUGGGGGAUAUUGCACAAUGGGGGGAACCCUGAUGCAGCGACGCCGCGUGGGUGCAGGAGUGCUUCGGCAUGUAAAGCCCUAUCGGCAGGGAAGAAGCAAGAAGGUACCUGCAAAGGAAGCACCGGCUAACUCCGUGCCAGCAGCCGCGGUAAUACGGAGGGUGCGAGCGUGAAUCGGAAUUACUGGGCGUAAAGCGCUCGUAGGCGGUAUGUCAAGUCAAGGGUGAAAUCCCCGCGCUCAGCGUGGGAACUGCCUGUGAAACUGGCAAACUGGAGUGUGUGAGAGGAUAGUGGAAUUCCAGGUGUAGGAGUGAAAUCCGUAGAUAUCUGGAGGAACAUCAGUGUCGAAGGCGACUAUCUGGCACAUAACUGACGCUGAGGAGCGAAAGCGUGGGUAGCAAACAGGAUUAGAGACCCCUGUAGUC